UCCCCGUUCACUUCGCUAUUCACUUCACUUACGAACUCGAUUUGAUCUGUCAAAUAAAAAGUUGAUGUUCGUCGAGUGAAAUCUAUACGUUUAUUAGUUAUUUGCUAGUGAUAUCGUGUCUAAUAAGACUCAAUAAGUUUCAAUUAAGGUAAUUUAACAGAUUAAUGUUUAAAAAACUUUAGUGUAGUAUUUUAUCUGGUGCUAGUGUACAUGUUUCUUCUGUUGAAAAUCGCUCAAAUGUUUUUAUUAAAGUGUUUAUUAGAGGAAGCUCAUACUUUGGACAAUUUUGAGUUGCGUCGACAAGCCUAUGAAAUUCGUAGUUUGUCUCUAUUGGCCCGAGAUGAUAACUAUGUCAGCGUAUAUAGUCUUUCGAAGCAAUUAAUCGACCAACUCGAGCUUGAGUUGCUCCCUAUAAUAAAAAAGUACCAAACGUCGAAGAAAAGGACUUACAACUCGUAUUAAGGUUUCAAGAAAAAUUCAUCAUUGGCAGCAUUGAUGGCACUCUCGUAACUUAAAAAGACCGGCUGAGCAUGAAGACUUCUUCUGUCGUAAGAAUUAUCAUGCUAGGAUGUGCAAUUGAAAAAAUAUCAUGUGCAAUUGAUUACAGAUGACAGUUUUAUUUUUAAUGAAGAUGUAAGAGAUCACUUAGAGGCUUUGACAAAUGCUGGUGAAGAAAUUGUUUUGUUCGGUGGUUCUGGAUAUGCUGAGCGGGCUAACCUUAUGACACCUAUAAAUAAUGCCCCAGACAAUACUCCUGAAACAUAUUAUAACAUGCUUACGCAACUCCGUAGAACGCCAAAUGGUUUGUUGAAGACGCUUCAGGUGUUUGUUAGUACACAGGGUCCUAGACUAUCAUCCUGAUAAAGUUGCAAUGCAUGUUGUAUUCUGCAUAACGUGUUCAACCGGGCUGGAAUGGAGGUAGUUAAUUUGACUGAAGAUGAAAACCUAGAGGAAGCUCAGGUGGCAGCCGAGACACAGAGAAGGCAACGUGCCAAAUCAUGAUGAUUUAAAUGUUGGACGGUCGCAAAGGCCUCAAAGGACAAAGAAAAAAAAAGUCAAAGAUCUUGUGAAUAGAUUGUGGUGAUCGCG